UGGAUCCAGACUUUGAUUCUGGCUCAGGAUGAACGCUAGCUACAGGCUUAACACAUGCAAGUCGAGGGGAAACGACAUCGAAAGCUUGCUUUUGAUGGGCGUCGACCGGCGCACGGGUGAGUAACGCGUAUCCAACCUGCCCAUCACUUGGGGAUAACCUUGCGAAAGUAAGACUAAUACCCAAUGACGUCUCUAGAAGACAUCUGAAAGAGAUUAAAGAUUUAUCGGUGAUGGAUGGGGAUGCGUCUGAUUAGCUUGUUGGCGGGGUAACGGCCCACCAAGGCAACGAUCAGUAGGGGUUCUGAGAGGAAGGUCCCCCACAUUGGAACUGAGACACGGUCCAAACUCCUACGGGAGGCAGCAGUGAGGAAUAUUGGUCAAUGGGCGAGAGCCUGAACCAGCCAAGUAGCGUGCAGGAUGACGGCCCUAUGGGUUGUAAACUGCUUUUAUAAGGGAAUAAAGUGAGUCUCGUGAGACUUUUUGCAUGUACCUUAUGAAUAAGGACCGGCUAAUUCCGUGCCAGCAGCCGCGGUAAUACGGAAGGUCCGGGCGUUAUCCGGAUUUAUUGGGUUUAAAGGGAGCGUAGGCCGGAGAUUAAGCGUGUUGUGAAAUGUAGACGCUCAACGUCUGCACUGCAGCGCGAACUGGUUUCCUUGAGUACGCACAAAGUGGGCGGAAUUCGUGGUGUAGCGGUGAAAUGCUUAGAUAUCACGAAGAACUCCGAUUGCGAAGGCAGCUCGCUGGAGCGCAACUGACGCUGAAGCUCGAAAGUGCGGGUAUCGAACAGGAUUAGAUACCCUGGUAGUCCGCACGGUAAACGAUGGAUGCCCGCUGUUGGUCUGAAUAGGUCAGCGGCCAAGCGAAAGCAUUAAGCAUCCCACCCGGGGAGUACGCCGGCAACGGUGCAACUCAAAGGAAUUGACGGA
rnacentral:rRNA from 1 species